GUUGCCAACUCUCGCGGUGUACACAGCGACCCGUUUUCAGUCGCAGCUUAGCUACGGUGCGGUACGUGUCACGCUUUUCGCUAUCAAGCUCGCGAGUUUUUCAGGAGCUCGCUGAAAAUUUCUGUACGGCCUUCGCCCCUACGCUAUUGCAGGGUUUUCCGUCAAGGACUCUGGGAUUUUAUGGUUAGUUUUUUUCGUUAUUGCCCGUGACGAGAGUUGUGUGCUGGAUUAUUUACGAUACGAUACGAUACGACUUUGAGGCGAUUGUGUUUCCUGAAAUCAAUCUUUAUUGUGUUUGGUGCAAGGUGGAUUUUGGAUUCUCACACUCCAGUUGGAUUUUCCGCUUUCCUCCUUUCGUUGUUGUGAUAGUGUGAAUUUCAACGGUGCCUAUUUUCUGUUGGGGAUUGAUUAUGUUUGUUUUGUGAAAUUUGUGCAUUUUUGGAUUUUUGGAAACUAAAUCCAUCUUCUUUGAUUCUUCGAUACUAGAAAACGAGUCUCCAGGACGUUCCGUAAUGCGAAAGAUUACAUAAUCACCCUCUGCAAUGCUAUAGUUGAGGUUCGAGAGUCUGCUUUCAACUAGGUGAG